rnacentral:rRNA from 1 species
GAUGAACGCUGGCGGCGUGCUUAACACAUGCAAGUCGAACGGUGAAGGCGGAGCUUGCUCUGCUGGAUCAGUGGCGAACGGGUGAGUAACACGUGAGCAAUCUGCCCCUGACCGUGGGAUAAGCGCUGGAAACGGCGGCUAAUACUGGAUACGAGCUGCGGAGGCAUCUUCAGCAGCUGGAAAGAACGUUGGUUAAGGUUGGACAUGGGGCUUAUCAGCUUGUUGGUGAGGUAAUGGCUCACCAACGCGUCGACGGGUAGCCGGCCUGGGAGGGUGACCGGCCACACUCGGCCUGGGGAGGGGCCCAGACUGCUACGGGGGGCAGCGGUGGGGGAUUGUGCGCGAUGGGCGGAAGCCUGGUGCAGCGACGCCGCGUGGGGGAGGACGGCCUUCGGGGUGUAAACCUCUUUUAGCAGGAAAGAAGCGAAAGUGACGGUACCUGAAGAAAAAGCGACGGCUAACUACGUG